rnacentral:rRNA from 1 species
UACGUGGGGGGCAAGCGUUAUCCGGAUUCACUGGGUGUAAAGGGAGCGUAGACGGCCAUGCAAGCCUGGAGUGAAAGCCCGGGGCCCAACCCCGGGACUGCUCUGGGAACUGUGCGGCUGGAGUGCGGGAGGGGCAGGCGGAAUUCCUGGUGUAGCGGUGAAAUGCGUAGAUAUCAGGAGGAACACCGGCGGCGAAGGCGGCCUGCUGGACCGCGACUGACGUUGAGGCUCGAAAGCGUGGGGAGCAAACAGG